GUCGUCAGCUCGGGUAGUGAGAUAUUGGGUUAAGUCCCGUAACGAGGGCAACCCUUGUCACUAUUUGCCAUCAUUUAGUUGGGCACUCUAGGGAGACUGCCGGUGACAAACCGGAGGAAGGUGGGGACGACGUCAAGUCAUCAUGGCCCUUACGGGUAGGGCUACACACGUGCUACAAUGGCCGGUACAGAAGGCAGCGAAGCCGCGAGGUGAAGCAAAUCCAGAAAACCGGUCCCAGUUCGAAUUGUAGUCUGCAACUCGACUACAUGAAGUUGGAAUUGCUAGUAAUGGCGUGUCAGCAAUAACGCCGUGAAUACGUUCCCGGGUCUUGUACACACCGCCCGUCACAUCAUGGGAGUUGGUUUUGCCCGAAGCCGCUGACUCAACCGCAAGGAGAGAGGCGUCGAAGGUAAGGCUGAUGACUGGGAUGAAGUCGUAACAAGGUAGCCGUAUCGGAAGGUGCGGCUGGAUCACCUCCUUUAAGGA
rnacentral:rRNA from 1 species